rnacentral:lncRNA from 1 species
AAAGAUAAUAUGAUGAAUACGUGGGGAAAAGUCAUUUUCCGUAAAAUCUGAGGCUAAUUUUAUCUAAAUCUUAUAACUUUGGGGUUAAUGUAAGAAUAUUUUUUUUUAUGAGAAACAGAGGAAAAAACAGAGCAAUGAACAGAGAGAGUUUUGAGAGACGAAACAGACCUCUCGUUCGUUGAACAUGGGGAUUUGGACGAGGACCACCGGGAAAUUGGAGCUUCCAAGCUCUUCAUCAUCGUGAAUGGGCUCGAACUUGUAGCGUUUCUCAGGUUUUUUCCAGAAGAGCUUGACGAGGACGAUGACGAUUCCCAUGUAAACCCUCUCACACAACAGCAUGAGAGACAUUAGCAGACAGAUGUAAACCGCUAGCUGAAGCAGAGGGACAAUCACUGGUCCCUUGACAAGCUCCCAGAUCAUGCCUAGCUGGCCUGUGAUCUCCAUCUUUACACCGUCGAAUGUCUCCGGCAACACAAACUUUGGUGAAACACCGUCCAUUUUUCUUCUCUCUCUCUAAAGUGAAACAAUGGCGGGUUUUUUCUCUCUGGAUUGGUACAAUGAGGUUUUUGGUCUGUUUUGUGUAAUGGGUUUUAGGAGAGAGGGGAGAUUUGGAUUGAAAAAUGGAGCCUUUUCUUUCUCUCUGCAGUUCUAGUGAGAGAGAAAAUGUAGGGAAGAGAGAGCAAGAGGAGAUUGAGGUUAUGGGAGAAAAGAAGAAGGAUAAACCAGGAAUAUAAAUGGUGAAAUUUUAUUCACUUUAUUUCCUUCUUUUUUAAGGAUAUUUUUCCUCUUUUUAAAUUGUUUUUAGGAAUUUAUUACAGACCGUAGUAAAUGUGAAAAUAACUAAACACAAGCCAAUAUUUUUGGUUAAAAAAAAAAAAACUAAACACAAGUGUCGGCCUUGAGGAUCUAUUUCAGUUAAAAAAUUGUCCCAAAAAAAAAAAAGAAGUUCUCUGGUAAAACAAGAACAGAGGAUUAGUUUUCUUGUUUCUGAUUUUUUGUGCCUGCCAAUGGAUGGAGAAAGUGAAGAGAUUGAUUUCUAAUGAUUUUCUUCGUAAAUAUUUUUCUUAACAAUGAUUAUCGGUUUGAUGAAGUUUUAACUUUUUUACCAUUUAUGGAAGUUUGGGUUUUUGGCAGCUCUUGUACAUUUUUUUUCCAAAAACUUUUAAUAAUUUACUACCAACUUUUAAGAAGUUGCUACUUCAUUUUCGUGUGUACAGGGCCGGCUUAGAUAGGGACCAGCGGUGUGACUGUUCCGGGGCCAAUUUGUUGUCUUUUUAUUUUUUAAUAGAUAAGGGUUUAAUUUUUUUAAAAAAUACAUAUAUUUUUAUAUUAAAAAUAAGAAAAGGGGCCUAAAAUUUUUUAUAUGAAAAUAUUUUUUUAUUUCCAAAGAUUUACUUUUAAAAAUAUUGAAAAAAUAUAUUUAUCAAAUUUUUUAAAGAAAAUAUAAUAGCUUGGAAAUUAAUUUUUUUUUUACCCGAGGAUCCAUGACACAAUUGAGCCGGUCCUGCGUAUGUAGUCAACUUUUUUUUUGUAGCCAACCCUUAUUAAUUCACUUAAGUCCUUUUUUUACUGGGUUUAUUCAAUUUAUUCUCUAGUAAUCUUUUUUUUGUAAAUACUUCUUGUAAUUUCAUUUUCUCAAAUAAAUCAUUUUUUAAUAGAUAUAACUGAUAUAUAUAUAUAUAUAUAGGAGUUUUAUUCUGUGAAAAUUUACAUGUUAUGUCUGCCGUCCAUAUAUAUAUUAGUUUUAUAUAUGAUCUCGAUCUCUCGAACCUCCAUCAUCACACCUACACAUCGAUUUGAAAUACACGCCAUACUUUGUUUUCGAACAACACACAAACCAUACUUCGCGAUGAAAACAAGAAAAAAAAAAGAAAGAGACAAUUGAUAUAUGUGUAAUUUAUGAAAAAACUAUACAUACACCCAUGCAACGCGGAAAGGGAGAGCGUGACUGUGCAGAUUAGAUCUAUUUGUGAAGAUUUCAUGUUUUGGCUGUUUCAACGGACUUUCACCUGAUUCUUGUUGAAAAUUUAGUUAGGCAAUUUAAGCUAAAACAAUUUUAUUAGGCAAAACAACAAUUCACGAUGAUGUCUCUUGAUUCUGGUCAGUUUUCCAAAAUAUUAAUAAUUAAUGAUUAUUAUUGAAAUUGUCAUUUCUGUGUUUGCAUGUUUAGUUAAUUAUUAGUCAGCAAACCGACUGUCAUAUGCUGUCCAAACCCAGGGCUGGCCCUGGGAAUUUGGAAGUCCAAGACCAUUUAGUAAAGAUUUUAAAAUUUUGGGGACCUAAAAUAUUUUAUUUUAAAUUGAGGACCUAUUUACAUAUAAAAAAUUUCAAAAAUUUUGGGGGUCCAAAGUGAAUGUUUCAUUGGGCUUGGCCCAGGGUCGGCCCUGUCCAAACCCGAACUUAAAUUCUACGAACAGUCCAGUCACCUUGAACUCUUCUAUAAAUUAUUCUCAUAUUAUUGAGAAAUCAAUAAAAAAAGGUCUGGAUAUUGAGAAGCCUCUUUCUGUAUGUUAUCUUAAACUUGUUAUAAAUUAGUAAAUUUGAUGCAUGUCAUGAAAUCGGCAAGGAUGGUAAUUCACAGCAACUGAUUCAUUAUCCAGUUCCUAUUAUGAGAAAGAGAGAUCACGUUUGACUUUCAGGAUUACAGUUGGAUUACUUGCCAAUUAUUAGUUUUUCACCAAUUCUGGAUUUUCAAGAUUGUGAAAUUUUGUUUUGACCAUAUACUCAUAUAUAUUGAUACUUCUCACCCUAAAGAGAUACGCCUGAUUCUGAGUUAUACUGUGCACUUAGAAUAACAAGGCAGAGAAACAAAAAGGGAAGGGGGGGGGAAACUUAAUGUUCACAGCACGUUAUCUCCACACAUAAAUCAAUGUGUAUCAUAAAGCAUCGGUUAACGACCAACUUCAAUGAGUUUUGCCACUAGAAUAUUAUCUACUUCGUAUUUUAUUUAGACACAGUUAAAGAUUCGCAUUAUUCUACUUCGCUGUAAAUUGGAGAUAGCUAGCUAACCUAGUGGAAUCGACAAAACUUCAAUGCUCUUGACUGGUGGUACCGUAUAAUAGGUUACAAUAAGAAAGUUCAUAACAAGUGGAAGUCCUCCACGGUCGCAUAACUUUAUUUUGAAUCUCCUAAGAACAUCUACGAUGGGAGUUAUUAAGGGAAUCCUUACCGGGUGUGGAGUCUACUUUCUUAGAGUUUGUGCAAAAAAAAAAUCCUUAAAAUCCUUUGAUAAUGAUUGAUCCUUAUACUGUUCUCGGAUCCCAUUGACUACGUGGCGGCCCGUGAAUAGUCAUCUUUUUUUUUUUUUUUUAAAAUCCAAAAUAUCCAAGAUUAAUCCGAAAUGCCCUUGUGCUAAGGACUCCAAUGAGUCUCACCAUUGUGGAUGGUCUAAUACCUUAACAGUAGGAUCUGUUGAGUCAUCAAGCACUUGGAUCACGAGACGAUCGGACGGCCAUGAGAGUCCAGACGCCGCUCCUAUUGAUAGCUUGUAAACCUGAACGGCAAAAAUCACGGGGGAAUUUUUUCACUUUUUAGUCCCUAUAAUUUAGCCAUUUACUACGAUUACGCCCUAAACUAUUGGUUUAUACAGAAAAACCCAAAAUAUCAUUAUAACAAGAAAGAUAAUAUGAUGAAUACGUGGGGAAAAGUCAUUUUCCGUAAAAUCUGAGGCUAAUUUUAUCUAAAUCUUAUAACUUUGGGGUUAAUGUAAGAAUAUUUUUUUUUAUGAGAAACAGAGGAAAAAACAGAGCAAUGAACAGAGAGAGUUUUGAGAGACGAAACAGACCUCUCGUUCGUUGAACAUGGGGAUUUGGACGAGGACCACCGGGAAAUUGGAGCUUCCAAGCUCUUCAUCAUCGUGAAUGGGCUCGAACUUGUAGCGUUUCUCAGGUUUUUUCCAGAAGAGCUUGACGAGGACGAUGACGAUUCCCAUGUAAACCCUCUCACACAACAGCAUGAGAGACAUUAGCAGACAGAUGUAAACCGCUAGCUGAAGCAGAGGGACAAUCACUGGUCCCUUGACAAGCUCCCA